rnacentral:rRNA from 1 species
CCUACGGGGGGCUGCAGUGGGGAAUAUUGGACAAUGGGCGAAAGCCUGAUCCAGCCAUGCCGCGUGUGUGAAGAAGGCCUUCGGGUUGUAAAGCACUUUCAGUGGGGAAGAAAGCCUUGGGGCUAAUACCCUCGAGGAAGGACAUCACCCACAGAAGAAGCACCGGCUAACUCCGUGCCAGCAGCCGCGGUAAUACGGAGGGUGCGAGCGUUAAUCGGAAUUACUGGGCGUAAAGCGCGCGUAGGCGGUCUGAUAAGCCGGUUGUGAAAGCCCCGGGCUCAACCUGGGAACGGCAUCCGGAACUGUCAGGCUAGAGUGCAGGAGAGGGAGGUAGAAUUCCCGGUGUAGCGGUGAAAUGCGUAGAGAUCGGGAGGAAUACCAGUGGCGAAGGCGGCCUUCUGGACUGACACUGACGCUGAGGUGCGAAAGCGUGGGUAGCAAACAGGAUUAGAUACCCCUGUAGUC